rnacentral:rRNA from 1 species
UACGUAGGGGGCAAGCGUUGUCCGGAUUUAUUGGGCGUAAAGAGCGUGUAGGCGGUUUGGUAGGUCCGUUGUGAAAACUCGAGGCUCAACCUCGAGACGCCGAUGGAAACCAUCAGACUAGAGUCCGGAAGAGGAGAGUGGAAUUCCUGGUGUAGCGGUGAAAUGCGCAGAUAUCAGGAGGAACACCGGUGGCGAAGGCGGUUCUCUGGGCAUGUCCUGACGCUGAGGAGCGAAAGCGUGGGGAGCGAACAGG